rnacentral:rRNA from 1 species
CCUACGGGAGGCAGCAGUGGGGGAUAUUGCACAAUGGGGGAAACCCUGAUGCAGCGACGCCGCGUGGGUGAAGAAGCGCCUCGGCGCGUAAAGCCCUGUCAGCAGGGAAGAAAAUGACGGUACCUGAAGAAGAAGCCCCGGCUAACUACGUGCCAGCAGCCGCGGUAAUACGUAAGGGGCAAGCGUUAUCCGGAUUUACUGGGUGUAAAGGGGGCGCAGACGGCGAUGCAAGCCAGGAGUGAAAGCCCGGGGCCCAACCCCGGGACUGCUCUUGGAACUGCGUGGCUAGAGUGCAGGAGGGGCAGGCGGAAUUCCUGGUGUAGCGGUGAAAUGCGUAGAUAUCAGGAGGAACACCGGGGGCGAAGGCGGCCUGCUGGACUGCAACUGACGUUGAGGCCCGAAAGCGUGGGGAGCAAACAGGAUUAGAUACCCCAGUAGUC